rnacentral:lncRNA from 1 species
GCCACGCUGAGCACUCAGGGCUCCCGGCAGAGGCUCGGACAGAAGCCCAGAGGGCGGGGCGUCCCCCAGCUGCCGUUGCCCGCCCCGUGGGACUAGGGAUUGCCGGAGAUCUCGGAGAGGACCGGGGCGGGGGAACUUCCAAAGGCGGGUCCGGCGACCCGGAGGGGAAGCGCCGGAGCUCCGCCAGGCAGCAGACAAAACUCUCUGUCUGCCGGUAGCAGAGGGGCCACGCUGAGCAUUCAGAGCUCCCGGCAGAGGCCCGGAGAGAAGCCCAGAGGGCGGGGCGACCCCCAGCUGCCGUUGCCCGCCCCGGGGGACUAGGGAUUGCCGGAGAUCUCGGAGAGGACCGGGGCGGGGGAACUUUCAAAGGCCGGAUCGGCGACCCGGAGGGGAAGCGCCAGAGCUCCGCCAGGCAGCAGACAAAACUCUCUGUCUGCCGGUAGCAGAGGGGCCACGCUGAGCACUCAGGGCUCCCGGCAGAGGCCCGGAGAGAAGCCCAGAGGGCGGGGCGACCCCCAGCUGCCGUUGCCCGCCCCGUGGGACUAGGGAUUGUCGGAGAUCUUGGAGAGGACCGGGGCGGGGGAACUUUCAAAGGCGGGUCCGGCGACCCGGAGGGGAAGCGCCGGAGCUCCGCCAGGCAGCAGACAAAACUCUCUGUCUGCCGGUAGCAGAGGGGCCACGCUGAGCAUUCAGAGCUCCCGGCAGAGGCCCGGAGAGAAGCCCAGAGGGCGGGGCGACCCCCAGCUGCC